rnacentral:rRNA from 1 species
AGAGUUUGAUCAUGGCUCAGAUUGAACGCUGGCGGCAGGCCUAACACAUGCAAGUCGAGCGGAUGAAGGGAGCUUGCUCCUGGAUUCAGCGGCGGACGGGUGAGUAAUGCCUAGGAAUCUGCCUGGUAGUGGGGGAUAACGUCCGGAAACGGGCGCUAAUACCGCAUACGUCCUGAGGGAGAAAGUGGGGGAUCUUCGGACCUCACGCUAUCAGAUGAGCCUAGGUCGGAUUAGCUAGUUGGUGGGGUAAAGGCCUACCAAGGCGACGAUCCGUAACUGGUCUGAGAGGAUGAUCAGUCACACUGGAACUGAGACACGGUCCAGACUCCUACGGGAGGCAGCAGUGGGGAAUAUUGGACAAUGGGCGAAAGCCUGAUCCAGCCAUGCCGCGUGUGUGAAGAAGGUCUUCGGAUUGUAAAGCACUUUAAGUUGGGAGGAAGGGCAGUAAGUUAAUACCUUGCUGUUUUGACGUUACCAACAGAAUAAGCACCGGCUAACUUCGUGCCAGCAGCCGCGGUAAUACGAAGGGUGCAAGCGUUAAUCGGAAUUACUGGGCGUAAAGCGCGCGUAGGUGGUUCAGCAAGUUGGAUGUGAAAUCCCCGGGCUCAACCUGGGAACUGCAUCCAAAACUACUGAGCUAGAGUACGGUAGAGGGUGGUGGAAUUUCCUGUGUAGCGGUGAAAUGCGUAGAUAUAGGAAGGAACACCAGUGGCGAAGGCGACCACCUGGACUGAUACUGACACUGAGGUGCGAAAGCGUGGGGAGCAGACAGGAUUAGAUACCCUGGUAGUCCACGCCGUAAACGAUGUCGACUAGCCGUUGGGAUCCUUGAGAUCUUAGUGGCGCAGCUAACGCGAUAAGUCGACCGCCUGGGGAGUACGGCCGCAAGGUUAAAACUCAAAUGAAUUGACGGGGGCCCGCACAAGCGGUGGAGCAUGUGGUUUAAUUCGAAGCAACGCGAAGAACCUUACCUGGCCUUGACAUGCUGAGAACUUUCCAGAGAUGGAUUGGUGCCUUCGGGAACUCGGACACAGGUGCUGCAUGGCUGUCGUCAGCUCGUGUCGUGAGAUGUUGGGUUAAGUCCCGUAACGAGCGCAACCCUUGUCCUUAGUUACCAGCACCUCGGGUGGGCACUCUAAGGAGACUGCCGGUGACAAACCGGAGGAAGGUGGGGAUGACGUCAAGUCAUCAUGGCCCUUACGGCCAGGGCUACACACGUGCUACAAUGGUCGGUACAAAGGGUUGCCAAGCCGCGAGGUGGAGCUAAUCCCAUAAAACCGAUCGUAGUCCGGAUCGCAGUCUGCAACUCGACUGCGUGAAGUCGGAAUCGCUAGUAAUCGUGAAUCAGAAUGUCACGGUGAAUACGUUCCCGGGCCUUGUACACACCGCCCGUCACACCAUGGGAGUGGGUUGCUCCAGAAGUAGCUAGUCUAACCGCAAGGGGGACGGUUACCACGGAGUGAUUCAUGACUGGGGUGAAGUCGUAACAAGGUA